GACGAACCGUGCGAACGUUAUUCGGAAUCACUGGGCUUAAAGCGCGUGUAGGCGGCUGGGCAAGCGUGGUGUGAAAUCUCCGGGCUUAACCCGGAAACUGCAUUGAAUACUAUUCGGCUUGAGGUCUGGAGGGGGGACUGGAAUUCUCGGUGUAGCAGUGAAAUGCGUAGAUAUCGAGAGGAACACCAGUGGCGAAGGCGAGUCCCUGGACAGGUCCUGACGCUGAGGCACGAAAGCUAGGGGAGCAAACAGG
rnacentral:rRNA from 1 species